rnacentral:rRNA from 1 species
GUGGGGAAUUUUGGACAAUGGGCGCAAGCCUGAUCCAGCAAUGCCGCGUGCAGGAAGAAGGCCUUCGGGUUGUAAACUGCUUUUGUACGGAACGAAACGGUCCUGGUUAAUACCUGGGGCUAAUGACGGUACCGUAAGAAUAAGCACCGGCUAACUACGUGCCAGCAGCCGCGGUAAUACGUAGGGUGCAAGCGUUAAUCGGAAUUACUGGGCGUAAAGCGUGCGCAGGCGGUUUUGUAAGACAGGCGUGAAAUCCCCGGGCUCAACCUGGGAAUUGCGCUUGUGACUGCAAGGCUGGAGUGCGGCAGAGGGGGAUGGAAUUCCGCGUGUAGCAGUGAAAUGCGUAGAUAUGCGGAGGAACACCGAUGGCGAAGGCAAUCCCCUGGGCCUGCACUGACGCUCAUGCACGAAAGCGUGGGGAGCAAACAGGAUUAGAAACCCCGGUAGUCC